UAGCUACAGGCUUAACACAUGCAAGUCGAGGGGCAGCAUGGUCUUAGCUUGCUAAGGCCGAUGGCGACCGGCGCACGGGUGAGUAACACGUAUCCAACCUGCCGUCUACUCUUGGACAGCCUUCUGAAAGGAAGAUUAAUACAAGAUGGCAUCAUGAGUCCACAUGUUCACAUGAUUAAAGGUAUUCCGGUAGACGAUGGGGAUGCGUUCCAUUAGAUAGUAGGCGGGGUAACGGCCCACCUAGUCUUCGAUGGAUAGGGGUUCUGAGAGGAAGGUCCCCCACAUUGGAACUGAGACACGGUCCAAACUCCUACGGGAGGCAGCAGUGAGGAAUAUUGGUCAAUGGGCGAGAGCCUGAACCAGCCAAGUAGCGUGAAGGAUGACUGCCCUAUGGGUUGUAAACUUCUUUUAUAAAGGAAUAAAGUCGGGUAUGCAUACCCGUUUGCAUGUACUUUAUGAAUAAGGAUCGGCUAACUCCGUGCCAGCAGCCGCGGUAAUACGGAGGAUCCGAGCGUUAUCCGGAUUUAUUGGGUUUAAAGGGAGCGUAGAUGGAUGUUUAAGUCAGUUGUGAAAGUUUGCGGCUCAACCGUAAAAUUGCAGUUGAUACUGGAUAUCUUGAGUGCAGUUGAGGCAGGCGGAAUUCGUGGUGUAGCGGUGAAAUGCUUAGAUAUCACGAAGAACUCCGAUUGCGAAGGCAGCCUGCUAAGCUGCAACUGACAUUGAGGCUCGAAAGUGUGGGUAUCAAACAGGAUUAGAUACCCUGGUAGUCCACACGGUAAACGAUGAAUACUCGCUGUUUGCGAUAUACGGCAAGCGGCCAAGCGAAAGCGUUAAGUAUUCCACCUGGGGAGUACGCCGGCAACGGUGAAACUCAAAGGAAUUGACGGGGGCCCGCACAAGCGGAGGAACAUGUGGUUUAAUUCGAUGAUACGCGAGGAACCUUACCCGGGCUUAAAUUGCAGAUGAAUUACGGUGAAAGCCGUAAGCCGCAAGGCAUCUGUGAAGGUGCUGCAUGGUUGUCGUCAGCUCGUGCCGUGAGGUGUCGGCUUAAGUGCCAUAACGAGCGCAACCCUUGUUGUCAGUUACUAACAGGUUCCGCUGAGGACUCUGACAAGACUGCCAUCGUAAGAUGUGAGGAAGGUGGGGAUGACGUCAAAUCAGCACGGCCCUUACGUCCGGGGCUACACACGUGUUACAAUGGGGGGUACAGAGGGCCGCUACCACGCGAGUGGAUGCCAAUCCCCAAAACCUCUCUCAGUUCGGACUGGAGUCUGCAACCCGACUCCACGAAGCUGGAUUCGCUAGUAAUCGCGCAUCAGCCACGGCGCGGUGAAUACGUUCCCGGGCCUUGUACACACCGCCCGUCAAGCCAUGGGAGCCGGGGGUACCUGAAGUGCGUAACCGCGAGGAGCGCCCUAGGGUAAAACUGGUGACUGGGGCU
rnacentral:rRNA from 1 species